GUCAAGGCUUAUUUAUGGCUUAGAGCAAGCUGAUGCCAGUUCUGAUUCAUCAUUACUGGGUGUGGAAGAUGUAUUUUUCAAAGACGACCAUACCAAUGUACAUCCCAUCCCACAUGCUCCUCUAACAAAGUGACCGUGACACUUCUUCAUCAAUAGAUGGCUUCUAUAUUCCCAUCCUUCAAAUUUGAGUGGCUUCUAAUUAUGGCAGAAAUGAUGCUUCGUGACUUCUGAGGCUGCAUUAGAAAUGGCAAUGUAACUUCCACUUGUCCUGUUGUCUCAGGGUGCUUGCCCUUCAACUCAGCCACCACGAUGUGAGUAAGCUCAAGCUAGCCAACAUGGAAAGAACACAUGGAGAGAUCCAUUCGGAAAAGAAUGGCGACCGCCUCACCUCAGCCGAUAACCAGCAUCAACCCGCAGACAUGUGACUGAGCAAGGAUUCAAAUGUCCCAGCCUCCAGCCUUCCUGCUGUCCCAGUUGCCAAUCGCUGAAACCCCAGGCAGGAAGCCCUGGCAGACCUCCAGACUCAGCAGGUGGGAAGCAUGAGAACAUGGGGUGAAAAAGUCUCCUAGCACAAAAUGGGCAAACCUAGACACAUUUCUGCCUCCUGAAAUCUUCCAGGUGUGUCCUGCUCCACCUCCUCUGAAAAAGUCGAUGGCUGGUGUAUAUCUGAGUCACCACAAAGAAGUACGUGUUCAGAGGCAAAAAGUGAGCUGUGGGAAGACAGAUGCUCCCAGACAUCCAUUUCCCAACCAUUGCUUCCUGAACAUCAAGGUCCUGGAUCAGUCUCCACGGAAAAUACUCACUGACUCCUCCCAGGAUGAAAGUGACCCACAGUCAACAUCUGGAUGUGAACGCAGUGCUGAUUCCCAUCAUGCAUAAACCCACUUAGCCAUGAAAGCUUCAAUAAAACUGCUCUGUGACUGAAAUACUGCAAAGCCUGCCCCAGGGCAAAGCCUGCCCCUGACUCAGCCUCAAAGGUGCCAACUGGCUCCCAGUUAACCAACCCUUCCCUGUUCUGAGAUAUUUCCACAUGCGCAAAGGAUGCCAGUGGAUAGAACUGUUUUAUUCAUUAGGGGAUAAGGGUACUCAGAAAAGAAUACAGCUAAUUUUUAAAAACCAAUCCUGCAUUAGUUUUCUCUACUCUGGCUUUAUGUCCCACCUGCCCAUUCCAUGUAUUUGUUGUUACGAAGAACUGAAGAGUAAAACACUGGAAGAGUAAAGCAGUAGAAUUACCAUGUUCAUAGCUUCACUAUCAAAUGGCCAUCUUCCUUUGUCUUACGCACAUGAGGCAUAUAUACAUCUAUC
rnacentral:lncRNA from 1 species